UCAAAAACCAAGGGGGAGGCUAUGCCUAAGGUUGAACUCUGACCUCCAUGUGAGGUCACACACUAGCACAAACAGGAACACACAAAGUAUACGUGUCAAGUUCAAACAGUUUAGACAGUGUGUUUUUCAUGGGGUGUUGACUCUUGCAGGGUAAAGACACUCUCAUCUCAUCGCGUGUUUUCUUUGAUUUCCUUUUCUUUUGUGCUUAGAUCUCUUUUACCCACAGACACUCACUGCUAAUGUGUUGCUUUAUGUGGUAUUUUGUGUGUUCUAGAUCAUGAUAUCUUGUUUCUUAUUUCAUUCAGAACCAUCUUCUGAGGUCUGUCUGAAUUACGCCAUUCUUGCUCAUUACCUUUGAGUAGUAUGUAGUGUUCUCUAUAUUCGUCCACUUUUCCUCUUGUGUUUAACUCUUCCCACAGUGAAGAGUUCCCUUGCUUGUCUACAUCUUUUGCUUCUACUCACAGUAUUAUAUGGGCAUCUUUAUACUUAAUAUCCCCUGGAUUUGUGUAUAAAAAGAUAUUUCAUUAGAGUUGUAUGUAUAUGUAUGUGAUUGUGUGUGUAUUUGUAUGUGGGAGUGUGUGUAUAUGUGAUUUAUAUAAGUGUGUGUGAAUGUGAGUGCAUUAUAUAGGUGUGAGUAUGCAUAUAUUGUGAGUACACAUGUACAUGAGUGUGUGUGUACAUUUUUGUGUACCUCCAAAUAUUCAUAUAUCUAUCCCAAAGUGCAUUUCUUGAAUUUUUAUUGAAUUAAUAAAUUUUACAUAUGUACUGAAUUGGAUGAUGAGCUCGUGAAUUCCAGCAAUAUCUGCUCCCUAGUAUGACUGAGCAGUCUUUCUUCUGCUUUAUCAAUCUACCUUGCUUCAUAUCUAGCUGUGGAAGAACCAGUACAUGAAUCAUGGGCAGCUAGUGCUUCCCCUUCCCAUCUCUGGACUUAAGGUGGCUCGGUAUUAUAGCUGCAUUAUCUUUUGCUAUGGCCUCUUUUUUCUACUUUAAGUAUCGCCUUUUUUGUACUUGCAUUUUCUCAACCAAAUUGGUUGUGGGUGAAGACCAUUGAUUGCUGUGCUCAGUGUGGACUUGGCGGCCAUGAAGUUCCCUGUAAGAUCACCCUGCAUCUGACCUUUUCGUCUGGGUCUUGCCUUUGUCCUUGGCCUUGUUCCUCACUUCCUUUCUUCAUAUCAGCGCUGGCAUUCUUGAGAGGCAGCCAGGGACAGACUGCCCAAGCCCUGUGGGAUCGCUGUCUAAUUUGAACUGCCAUUGGCUUCCGGUGGCACUUGGAAGCAGGUCUGAGCAUCUUGGCGAUCUCAGGUUCUUCCACAGGAUAUGACCUUUGACUUGUGCUCUUCCUGUUUUAGCUGCUUUCUGGAGUGUGGCUGCCCCCACCCUCUCACCCCACUCCCUCACUGCUACUUCCAUUUCCCAUGCAUCUUCAGCUUUGGUUUGUCUGUGCCCCAUAGCUAUCUUCAUUACCUCCUUUGAUGUUCUUUUCUACACUUUAUUUCUGUAAACUAAUAAUUAAUAUAUUAUGUGUUUAAAGAUAAAAAAGGCAGUGGAGAGCUGAGGUAGGUCUCUGGUGAACUGCAGAAGGCUAGAGUCCUGUGCCUUUAUUGUUUCCUAACGUCUUCCAUACUAGUUACUUCUCCUCUCCCUAUGAUCAAGUACUCAGUUUGAGGAUACAGUCCAUCACAGCAGGGAUUUCAAGGCAGCAGGAGCUUGAAGCAGUUGGUCACAAUGUAUUCUCAAUUCAGGAAAAACAGUCUUAUUCUCUGCUGGCUUUCUCCUUUGUACAGUCUAUGACGAAAGAGCUGUCUACUCAGAAUGAUGCAGCCCAUCUCCAUUAACCUAAUAAAGGAAGUCCCUUGCUGGCCUGCCCAGAGGUUGCCCACAUCUAGACAACCCCUCAGUGGUAUGUUACGGGUAUUUGGAGAUCUUGUCAAGCUAUCAAUAAAUUAAACAUUAAAUAUCCAUAGCACACAGAUAUCCCAAGGGAUAAAAGUGUUUAUGAGGUAACUACUAGUUAGCACUUUGGCUUCCCAUGUAACAUUAAGACCAACAUAUUCCAAUGAGCCUGCUUUUCAUUUUGUGUUUUACAGUUAGUAUAUAAAUACAUUUCAUUGCAAUUUUCUUGUGGGCUGAAUAUAUAUGUGUCUAUUAAAUAUAUGUAUCUUUCUGUUAGAAUUGCCUACGAGUGUAUUUUUAAUGGGAUAUGUUAUGCAUGUCUUUAGCAAAAAUGCUAUUAUGCACUACGGUGCUUUGUCAUGGUUUGUCUAAUUAUUUCCGUAUGUUGAAGCGUUGUUUUCAAUUUCAUUAUUUUUUAAUGAAAUGUAAUAUUUUUUGGUCUAAAUGACCACCCCCCUCCUGGUUAUUUCUUUGAAAUUACUGCUAUUGAACAGUUCUUAUUAAAGGCUGCAGGAUCAUUUAGGAAGAUUGAAGCUGAGUUCAUGGCUGGCAGUGUAUGCCUGUUUAUCUUGUGCCCCUCCAGAAUUGGGUUUUAUAAUUUCAUUGUGUCUUAAUAGCCCUGAAGUAUAACUUUAAAGUUCUUCCUAUUUGUGUUCCAUUCCCUGCUAGAAAGUCUGAUUUCGAUCCUCGAUUUCCUCUAUUGCCCCUGCGCUCUUUGAUGCCCUCCUCGGGUCACCAGAUCGUCUUUCUGUGAGUUCUACAGGGAGCAGGGCUGGCCGUACCCAGCUUUGGUUUGUUUGUGGUAUUUUUGGAGCCUCACAGAAGGCACUUCUAAAAGUAUUCUUUAAUUCUCUGAGAAAAUGUGUGGCAGUCAAGAGUCAGCCUGGGAUAUCCUGCUUCUUUAGAAGUGCCAUGUGGUCACUUUUCCCAUGCCUAAGUAGUGAGCAAAACAGUGAUGGCUGGCAUCAGUUGUCUAUGGAGCUUUGCAUCGAACGCUCAGCUCUUCACAUGGGAGUAUGUGUUCUUGGUCCCCCUUUAAGUGUAAAAUUUAUUUAUGCAGAAUCAUUUAGCAUUUGCUCUCCAACUCAAAAGGCAGAGCUUCACUUAAGCCUUACUCGAUUACCCUUUAAUGUAAAUGG
rnacentral:lncRNA from 1 species